CUGAGUGGCAUCAGCAAUGGCAAAUUACUAUAAACCAAUCAGAGAAUGAAAUGACUUAAAGCUGGGCUUCAGUAUCAUCAAAGCCAUUCUUUCCUGAUUCUGCACCUGGAUUCCAGCAAGUUAUGAGGAUGAAUCUAAAUGAAAUAAAUGGAAGGAAAAAGAGUCCCAGAUGUUUGUAGAGAGCAUGUAUAAUUACACUGAGUAUAAAUGAGAAAAUUCUAGCAGAUACGUACAUUGACUUCUGAAAAGAUAAAGAGGCUUCUGUUUUCUUUAUAAGUAAGUAUUGAAAGACAUUCAUUUCCGGAUAGCAAUAUCAUAUUAUCACAAAGAAUAGCCUCAAACACACAUACUUAAACAUUAAGAUUAAUAUGAUAUUACUAAAAGACAGCAUACCCACAUAUCCCCAAUAUGUUUUUUACAUUAGGAAAGAUAAUUCACAGAAAACACAUCUAACACACACCUGACAGACUCACA
rnacentral:lncRNA from 1 species